CCCCGCUCAUUCCUGGAGCCAUUUAAGCCACACCCACAAUCUCGUUAGGCCACGCCCACCCAGAAAUCACACCCACAAUAUCUUAGGCCACGCCCACUUAUCGCACACCUUAUUUAGGCCACGCCCAUUUUUUGCUCCGCCCACACCUGGAGCCUUUUAAGCCACACCCAGUUCCAUCCCCAGCCCCUCCCAGUUCAUCCCAGUUUGUCCCAGUUCCCUCCCAGUGUAAACCAGUAAAUCCCAGUUUUCUCCCAGUUCCCUCCCAGUUCCUUCCCAGUAUAAACCAGUCCCUCCCAGUCCCUCCCAGUUCCCUCCCUGUCCAUUCCCAGGGUCUCCCAGUAUAACCCAGUUUAUCCCAGUAUCAUCCCAGCCCAUCCCAGUCCCUCCCAGUAUAAACCAGUAUAACCCAGUCCCUUCCAUUCCUCUCCCAGUUCCCUCCCAGUCCAUCCCAGUUCCCCUCCAACUCCAUCCCAGUCCAUUCCCAAUUCCCUCCAGUUCAUUCCCAGUAUAAACCGGUAUCCCUCUGUCGCUCCCAGUUCAUCCCAGUAUAAACCAGUAUAAACCAGUUUAUCCCAGUUCCCUCCCAGUUUAUCCCAGUUCCCUCCCACUCCAUUCCAGUUCCCUCCCAGUCCCUCCCAGUUUAUCCCAGUAUAAACCAGUCCCUCCCAGUUCCUCUCAAUCCCUCCCAGUUCCCUCCCAGUCCAUCCCAGUAUAAACCAGUAUAUCCCAGUUCCCUCCCAGUCCAUUCCCAGCGUCUCCCAAUAUAAUCCAGUUUAUCCCAGUAUAAUCCAGUUUAUCCCAGUCCAUUCCCAGUUCCCUCCCAGUAUAUCCCAGUAUAACCCAGUCCCUCCCAGUCCCUCCCAGUUUAUCCCAGUUCCCUCCCAGUCCCUCCCAGUCCAUCCCAGUCCCUCCCAGUUCCCUCCCAGUCCAUCCCAGUAUAAACCAGUCCCUCCCAGUAUAUCCCAGUUCCCUCCAGUUUAUCCCAGUCCCUCCCAGUAAAGCCCAGUUUAUCCCAGUCCCUCCCAGUUUAUCCCAGUCCAUUCCCAGUCCCCUCCCAGUAUAAACCAGUAUAUCCCAGUAUAUCCCAGUUUAUCCCAGUCCAUUC
rnacentral:lncRNA from 1 species